CCAGCGCAGCUAACAGCAGUCGAGCGGAACAAAGAGAACCUUGCUUCUCUGCUGAAGAGCGGCGGACGGGAGAAUAAUACUUGGGAAUUCGCCUUUAGGCGGGGGACAACCACGGGAAACUGGGGCUAAUACCGCAUAAUGUCUACGGAACAAAGUGGGGGACCUUCAGGCCUCACACCUAAAUAUGACCCCAAGCGGGAUUAGCUAGUUGGUGGGGUAAAGGCUCACCAAGGCGACUAUCCCUAGCUGUUCUGAGAGGAUGAUCAGCCACACUGGGACUGACACACGGCCCACACUCCUACGGGAGGCAGCAGUGGGGAAUAUUGCACAAUGGGGGAAACCCUGAUGCACCCAUGCCGCGUGUGUGAACAAGGCCUUCGGGUUGUAAAGCACUUUCAGCGACGAGGAAGGGUGUUGUAUUAAUAGUGCAGCACAUUGACGUUAGUCGCAGAAGAAGCACCGGCUAACUCCGUGCCACCAGCCGCGGUAAUACGGAGGGUGCAAGCGUUAAUCGAAAUUACUGGGCGUAAAGCGUACGUAGGCGGCGUGUUAAGCAAGAUGUGAAACCCCCGGGCUCAACCUGGGAAUUGCAUUUUGAACUGGCAUGCUAAAGUCCUGAAAAGGGUGGUAAAAUUUCCAGUGUACCGGUGAAAUGCGUAAAUAUUGAAAGGAAUACCGGUGGCGAAGGCGGCCACCUGGUCCCAAACUGACGCUGAGGUACGAAAGCGUGGGGAGCAAACAGGAUUAGAUACCCUGGUAGUCCACCCCGUAAACAAUGUCAACUACUUGUUCGUGUUCUUGAGACGUGAGUGGCGCAGCUAACGCACUAAGUUGACCGCCUGGGGAGUACGGCCGCAAGGUUAAAACUCAAAUUAAUUUUGGGGGGCGCGCACAAGCGGUGGAGCAUGUGGUUUAAUUCGAUGCAACGCGAAGAACCUUACCAUCCCUUGACAUCCAGAGAAUUUUCCAGAGAUGGAUUAGUGCCUUCGGGAACUCUGAGACAGGUGCUGCAUGGCUGUCGUCAGCUCGUGUUGUGAGAUGUUGGGUUAAGUCCCGCAACGAGCGCAACCCUUAUCCUUAGUUGCCAGCACGUAAAGGUGGGAACUCUGGGGAGACUGCCGGUGAUAAACCGGAGGAAGGUGGGGACGACGUCAAGUCAUCAUGGCCCUUACGGGAUGGGCUACACACGUGCUACAAUGGCGCAUACAAAGGGCAGCAAGCCAGCGAUGGUUAGCGAAUCUCAUAAAGUGCGUCGUAGUCCGGAUCGGAGUCUGCAACUCGACUCCGGAAGUCGGAUCGCUAGUAUCGUGAUCAAAUGCUUGACGCUAAAAA
rnacentral:rRNA from 1 species